UGGACAAUAGCUUCCCUACUGCUCUUCCUC
rnacentral:piRNA from 1 species